UACGGGGGGGGCAAGCGUUGUUCGGAAUUACUGGGCGUAAAGGGCUCGUAGGCGGCCAACUAAGUCAGACGUGAAAUCCCCAGGCUCAACCUGGGAACUGCGUCUGAUACUGGAUGGCUUGAAUCCGGGAGAGGGAUGCAGAAUUCCAGGUGUAGCGGUGAAAUGCGUAGAUAUCUGGAGGAACACCGGUGGCGAAGGCGGGUCUCUGGGCCGAUACUGACGCUGAGGAGCGAAAGCGUGGGGAGCGAACAGG
rnacentral:rRNA from 1 species